rnacentral:misc_RNA from 1 species
UGUUGAUGUUUACCCAAUUGGAAGGUAAUACCUGCAUUGCUACUUUCAAUUGUUUGUUUUCUGUAUUUUGUCAUGUCUUUAGGUUUUAAAUCUCCAUUGCUGUCGAUUCUCUGGAUGCUAUUGCAGUGAAGUUUUGUUGUUGGCCCUUGUAAGUUGAAAAAAAGUGAUUUUAUGGAACUUGCUCUGGCAGCAGAGGUGGUGGAUAUUCAAAUUUUCACAAAUUUAGAGAGAUUAGAUUUUGUGGACCUGUGGAAAAUUUUUUUAAUUAUUUGCAGUUCCCUUUCCUUUCCCCACAUGUUCCCUCCACCUUCCAAACAAGGUAGAGUGAAUUUUCUUUUCUUUUCUUCCUCCCAAUUAACUUUUUCCCAGACUGCCUUUUGGGAAAUAAGAAAAACAGGUGUAUCUUUUGAUUGUUGUAUUCAUGUAUUGGUAG